GGGGUGCAAGGACGUAUACUGUACUUGAUAUCCUACACAAUGAUAUUGCUUUGUAGUACAUCACGGGGGAUUCUUUUCUCCUUUUGAAAUGUUUGUGAUCAUGUGUUGCUGUUUUCAGCCUAUGGUGGAUGACAUUUACUUGUUUUAUAAUUUGUAACCUACUUUAGGAUAGUUUGUGAAAAAAAAAAUCUCCAAAUUGGGGUAAAAUUAAGACACUCUGAGGAACAAGAUAUUUAUGGGAAGGCAUGUAAAUACUAUUUUUUGAUGUUACAUUUUGUAUGACCUCAACUCCAAUGAAAUGUGAUGGUGGGAUGUGGCUUUUUUUGCCGUCACUGUAAAAAAAAAAGUCAGACGCCUUGAAAUUAUAGAUGAAGCAUUGCAUCGUGUAGGUAUUACUUCAAGUCUUGCUGGCGAUUCUUUUAAAUAUGUUUUUAUAGUGCAGUAUUUAUUAAUUGAAUGCGAUUGAAGAGAAACAUACUCUUGAUAAAAUCUCUAAGCCUCUGCUUUCAGUUUUAUCAGUCAGGAGUUGUGUUCAUGUAUUGGCUUGAAUGCAUGUCUGUAGCUGUUUUUUUUUUUCGUUUUUUUUACUCUUCCCAUAGCAUUUUUUUCCCCAUCCCUGUUUUAUUUUUAUUUUUUUUAUUACCUGCAUUACUUCAUAUGCUCCUGUACAAAGAUUGUAAAACAAAAAAUAUUUUUACAUUUUGAUAAGAAAAGUUGGAAAAUCAAGUUUACUUAAAGGGAUACUGUGUAAUAUUUUAAGUCAUUUAUUACCUCAAAUCAACGUAUUCAUUCAUAAAUAAGUCCUCAUUGGUGUAGAAUUAUCUCUGCCCAAAAUCUCACUUAUCCUCCUGAGCAAAGAAUAAUUAAUAUGUAGUUACAUAGGAUGGGUAAGCUUCAUGGAGGCUUCCAUGUUCUUCCGGUCUAUGAACUGCCGAGAGGGACUAAAAGCACUAUGUGGUACAGGAAAAGCAAACGCGUUUUCACUCUGAGCCAGCGUGAAUGAUGCCUGAAAUAAUUCACUAUCUUGCGUGAAGAGUAAUUACUCAUACAUCAUUAGCUUACUCUAAUGAUUCAAUGCAGUUUGAAAUUUGUUCGAAAUAACGAACCUCAUCACUCGAAUGACUCGAUGAGGUGGUAUUGGAUGUCAUAACACAGCUUCUUGGCACAUAGUGCCCACCGUAGUUUUUGAACAAGCACUAUUAGUUUGAAUGCAAUAUACAAUUGUACCACUAGAUGGGAGUAAUUUUUACACAGUGUCCCUUUAAGGAAGCCUGGUUAUUAUUUUUUUUUAAAGGUUUUGCAGUCAUUGUUUUAAAUGGUUGUUAAAUAGAUGAAUACUGUUCAUUCUGAAAUAAUCACACUAAAAAUGUUUGUACCAAACUGGUUGUCCAGGUCAUUGAACAUGUCUACAGUGUAUAGCCUAAGGUACUGCCAGUCUGAAGUCCCAUCAUGUGUCCUGUCUGGACAGAGUGGGCACGCUGCCUGAAACAGUGGUAGCAUAAUUAUCAUGUUGGGCCAAGUAUUCAUCAAGAAACAAAGGAAGGCCAUAACACCGCUCAGUCUUCAGUUAAAGUACAAGUUUUGAGUUUGGAUAUACAAGCUACAUUUUUUUGUCAACGUUUCUUGUUUGGAAUAACUAUGGUCCUCAUUACGGACAGCAUAUGUCAUGGCUGUGUUUUAUCAUGUUCUGAAAAAGGUGUAUGUGUAAACAGUUCUGACACUAUCCACAGUUUAAAAGGUUGAAUAGGUGAGUGCAUGUCUUGUUUAUUUGAGGGCCAUACUAUUUUAUUUUAACUACGGUCUUCUAUUAUGCAGACCAUAUGUGUUGUUGUGUAAACUCAAAUGUACACAAUUAAUGUUGAGUAUCCAUACAAUAAAUUAUGGCAAGGAUUUCCAGGUACGCAUUUGUGAUGCUACAUGUUUUGAAAAACCCUGUGACUGCCACUGCUGAGAGGCUGCGGACUGACUCCUAGAGGAUCUGUUCCUGCACCGCCUCUAGUACAGAACACCUGAAGGGGUACUCUUUAGGAAGGUGGUACAGUAUUGGCUAUCAUCACGUUGUGUGAACUUGUAUAUAAAACGAUUGUAUGAUUUUCAUUGAUACCUGCUCAAUACCUGCUGUAGAUUAUCUUUCAUAAAGGUUUUAAAAAGUUGGUUCAAGUGAGCGUACCUCUCCAUAACUUAAGGACUUGUACGCCACAUUUUCUUAAUAUCCCCAUGAGGUGUAAGAACUAUGCUCAGAUGAGAAUUAUAUUCUUCUCAGGAAUCAAUCCUCUGUUGAUCAAUAAGAAAUGUAAAAUGCACUGAAUAUUUAUCCCAGUAAGAAUGCUUAUUAAUGGGCUUAAAGUGUUAGUCUAACUGAUAAUAUAUUAUAAUAGAUGUAAAUAUCACUAGGUUGCAUCAUAUUCGGAAAUGGUUACUUCUAGGUUUUUAUAUCAGGAUUUAUAUUAACUAAAGAAAAUUAAACUUCGGAAAUCAAAAAUUUUAAGGGAGAUACGCACGGUCAUGCAGCCUCAGAAAUGCAAUUCACAACUCUACCUUUGUAUUUAUUCAUGGUCCAUAUUUGUCACAUCCUAAUGUUAAAUGUUAAGUUACACUCAGGUUUCGAAUUCAAUAAUUUACAGAUCUUGUUUCAGUUAAAACAUUGUUUGUGUACACUGAUCCUUUUGAUAUGUGGUUGAUAUAAUCUUAUGUCAAUAAAUACUUUAAGAAUUUAACAA
ensembl:lncRNA